rnacentral:rRNA from 1 species
GAUGAACGCUGGCGGCGUGCUUAACACAUGCAAGUCGAACGGAAAGGCUCCUGCUUGCAGGGGUACUCGAGUGGCGAACGGGUGAGUAACACGUGGGUGAUCUGCCCUGCACUUCGGGAUAAGCCUGGGAAACUGGGGCUAAUACCGGAUAGGACGAUGGUUUGGAUGCCAUUGUGGAAAGUUUUUUCGGUUUGGGAUGAUCUCGCGGCCUAUCAGCUUGUUGGAGAGGUAAUGGCCUACCAAGGCGCCGACGGGUAGCCGGCCUGAGAGGGUGUACGGCCACAUUGGGACUGAGGUAGCACCCAGACUCCUACGGGAGGCAGAAGUGGGAAAUAUAGCGCACUGCGCGCAGGCCUGAUACAGCGACUCCGCGUCGGAGAUGACGGCCUUCGGGUUGUAAACUCCUUUCGCUAGGGACGAAGCGCAAGUGACGGUACCUAGAGAAGAAGCAACGGCUAACUACGUG